rnacentral:pre_miRNA from 1 species
GUAGUACUUCCGCCGUCCUAAAAUUCUUGUCUUAAAUUUGUCUAAAUAUGAGUGUAUCUAGUCACGUUUUAGUAUUUAGAUACAUCCGUUUUUAAACAAAGUUAAGACAAGAAUUUUGGGAUGGAGGUAGUAAGUG